rnacentral:rRNA from 1 species
CCUACGGGCGGCAGCAGUGGGGAAUAUUGCACAAUGGUCGAAAGCCUGAUGCAGCAACGCCGCGUGAGCGAGGAAGGCCUUCGGGUCGUAAAGCUCUGUCCUCAAGGAAGCUAAUGACGGUACUUGAGGAGGAAGCCCCGGCUAACUACGUGCCAGCAGCCGCGGUAAUACGUAGGGGGCUAGCGUUAUCCGGAAUUACUGGGCGUAAAGGGUGCGUAGGUGGUUUCUUAAGUCAGCGGUGAAAGGCUACGGCUCAACCGUAGUAAGCCUUUGAAACUGGGGGACUUGAGUGGAGGAGAGGAGAGUGGAAUUCCUAGUGUAGCGGUGAAAUGCGUAGAUAUCGGGAGGAACACCAGUUGCGAAGGCGAUUCUCUGGACUGUAACUGACGCUGAGGCUCGAAAGCGUGGGGAGCAAACAGGAUUAGAUACCCUUGUAGUC